rnacentral:rRNA from 1 species
UACGGGGGGGGCAAGGCGUUGUUCGGAAUUACGUGGGCGUAAAAGGGCUCGUAGGCGGCCAACUAAGUCAGACGUGAAAUCCCUCGGACUUAACCCGGGGAACUGCGUCGUGAUACUGGAUGGCGUGGGAGUUUGGGGAGAGGGAUGGCGGAAUUCCGAGGUGUAGCGGUGAAAUGCGUAGAUAUCUGGAGGAACACCGGUGGCGAAGGCGGUUCUCUGGGCAUUACCUGACGGCUGAGGAGCGAAAGCGUGGGGAGCGAACAGG